UACAGAGGUCUCAACCGUUGUUCGGAUUCAUUGGGCGUAAAGGGUGCGUAGGUGGACUUUUAAGUCAGUGGUGAAAGCCUGUAGCUUAACUAUAGAAUUGCCAUUGAAACUGAAAGUCUUGAGUACAGUUGAGGUGAGCGGAAUGUAUCAUGUAGCGGUGAAAUGCUUAGAUAUGAUACAGAACACCGAUUGCGAAGGCAGCUCACUAAACUGCAACUGACACUGAGGCACGAAAGCGUGGGGAUCAAACAGG
rnacentral:rRNA from 1 species